AGAGAGAGACAUGCGCGCAUAUCAAUAAGCGGAGGAAAAGAAACUAACAAGGAUUCCCUUAGUAACGGCGAGUGAAGCGGGAAGAGCUCAAAUUUGAAAUCUUCAAGGUUUUACCUUGACGAAUUGUAGUUUAAAGAAGUGUUUUCUGCUGAAGUUUUGGUAAAAGUUCUUUGGAAUAGGACAUCAUAGAGGGUGAGAAUCCCGUAUUUGACCAUUAUUUUCAGCUUUGUGAUACACUUUCAAAGAGUCGGAUUGUUUGGGAAUGCAGUCCAAAAUGGGUGGUAAAUUUCAUCUAAAGCUAAAUAUUGGCGAGAGACCGAUAGCGAACAAGUACCGUGAGGGAAAGAUGAAAAGAACUUUGAAAAGAGAGUUAAACAGUACGUGAAAUUGUCAAAAGGGAAGCGUUUGACACCAGUGUUGUUUUCUCGAAAAUCAAUUAAAAAUGGCUCGAUUUUGUAUUGCUUGAGACCUUAAAAGCUCACUGUACAUUUUUCGUGUCUUUUUUAAUGCACUUUUCGUUUAACAAGUCAACAUCAGUUUCUUUUGUUGUAAAAGGGUCAUUGGAAGGUGGCUUUCUUUUCGGAGAAAGUGUUUAUAGCCUUUGGCCUCUGCAAUCGGAGAGACUGAGGUCUGCAGCGUAGACUCUUCGGGGUUAGAUACAUUUGUGCUAAGUUAUAGCUUUUUAUAGACAACUUGUUGACUAUAAUUAGUCUUGUAGCUUACUCGCUUAUGCUAUUUUACCUACGCUUAGGAUGUUGAAGAUGUAGCACAUCAU
rnacentral:rRNA from 1 species